GUCAAAUUAGCGUAUUGACUACGGUAAUUUUGUUACCCUCAGGUCCUCCUCUCGGCCUUCCCUCGCAUAUCUUUCUCUGUUAUUAAGCUGCCAUUCAUGUUCCCCUCUUUUAUUCAUUUCUACUUCUCUUUUCUUCCAGUGGAACGGCGAUGUCUUCACCCACACCAUUCUAAGCAUUGCAGUGUACUCGCUCUAUGUCACUCCCACUUCCUUUUUCUCGUCUUCACAAUAUCAAUAUCAUACCUCGCGACUUCAUCUCGACCUUGUCCAGAAUUUAUAUGCGGGGACUAUGUUUUUCAACAUCCUUUCAGAGAGAAGAAAAGCGGCUGCGGUGACCCUGCGCUUCAGCUGGAGUGUGAUCAUCAAGCGAAUAUGCCUCUAAUUAACAUCGGUGGCUACCAAUACUACAUACUUCAUCCAGAAAACCUGUUGCAGGGGAGUUACGACUAUAAUCUGACACUCAUUGACGGGAAUCUGCUGGGGCCUAAAUGCAACCCAUCGUCCAGUAUAUAUAUAGCACAAAUCUGGACUAGCACUCAAUUUCAUGUUACCAAGCAAUACAAGAAUUUAACUCUAUGGGAACAAUGCAAUGAAACAGAGGUUAACUUCAAGGAUAUAGCGUCUCCGUUACCAUGUAACGGAAGUUGGUUCUAUAUUUCGAAGCCGCGGUCGAGCUUGACUUUGGAUGCUCUAUGUAAAUCACAAGUUAAACUCCCUGUCGAGAGCGUAGAAACUCCUGUACGGGAAGAAAUUCUACAUGAAGGGUUCCAAAUACAAUGGAAUAUUAGCGGAAACUGCAUGGAUUGCCUCUUAGAAAAAGGGUUGUGUUCCUAUUACACCGACUCGAUGCACUUUUGUUGUAACUGCACAGACACUGGCUGUCGAAACAAAUGCUCCGCUGGCAAAUCCCAAGCCAUGUCUAUUAUUCUAGGUGUGGUCAUUGGAACCACUGCAUUGUUACUGAUGGGAGCAUUACUUCUGUUCCUUAAUCGGAAAAGGUGUUUACCCAAUUCCUCUAAGAAACCCGAUCUUUCCAACGUGGAGAAAUUCCUGCAAGAUUAUGUUCAUCAAAUUCCAUGUAGAUAUUCAUAUUCUCAGCUUAUGAAGAUCACCAAUAAAUUUGCACAUAGAGUGGGGGAAGGAGGUUUUGGUGUGGUAUAUAAAGGAAGGCUAUCAACUGGCGAUCUGGUGGCCGUUAAAAUGCUUGACCAGUCAAGGCGCUGUGAGAGUCAUUUCAUGAAUGAAAUAGCAACCAUCGGAAGGAUCCAUCAUGUUCAUUUGGUUCGCCUCAUGGGAUAUUACUAUGAAGAACACAGAAACGCAUUGGUGUAUGAGUACAUGGCUAAUGGAUCUCUAGAACAGUUUAUAUUUUCAGGAAAAGAGAAGAAACAAAUCCUAAAUCGGGCAAAGCUGUAUUCAAUUGCCUUGGGUUCAGCUCGUGGAAUUGCCUAUUUACACCAAGAUUGUGACAACCGUAUCAUUCAUUUCGACAUAAAACCCCACAACAUAUUACUGGAUGAAGAGUUCACACCAAAGGUAGCUGAUUUUGGUUUGGCUAAACUCUGUGGGAAGAAAGAGGAUCAUAUAUCAAUGACAGCCGCAAGAGGAACGCCAGGAUAUGCUGCUCCAGAGGUGUGGAAUAGAAAUUUGGGAGCUGUAACGGACAAAUCAGAUGUUUACAGUUUUGGAAUGGUAUUAUUGGAGGUGGUUGGAGGAAGAAACAAUGUCGAAGUGCAGGUAAGCCGGUCCAGUCAAUUGUAUUUUCCAGAGUGGGCAUUCAAAUUGAUGGAGACUGGGCAGUUGGAGAGGACGUUGAGAGGAAGUGGUAACGCAGAAAUAGAAUGUGAAGAGAAGGAGAAAGCAAUAAGACUGGCAAAAGGAGGAUUGUGGUGCAUUCAGUACAAUUCAAGAGAUCGACCGAGCAUGAGCAGAGUGGUUCAAAUGUUGGAAGGAAAUGGUGAUGAUGUAAGCAAUCCUCCCAUGCCUCUCAAUUCAUCAAUUAGGGCUGCACCUUCACUACAUUCAAGUGAAGAGUCUUCUGUGUAAACGAGAAAAUCUCUUUCAAACCCUUCAUUCUGGUCGUUGGCAUUGUAGCAAGGAGUGAGAACAAAAGAGGGAUAUCACACGACGGAAAGUAUUCGACCUCAGCGACUAUGCUGUUUUAAUGUAUGAUAAUUAUCCUCUAUAAGGACUUUAAUGUUAGCCCUUUAUUAGUUCCUACCCAUAGGCAGGUUACUAAUACAUUCCGAUACAGAAUUUAAUUAUCUGCAAACAAUGUAUUAUGCAGAUAAGAUAUUUCCCUGCACAUUAAUUCUGUUCGGACAGGGUAGAGUUAUCUUCUGUGCAAUGUAAUUAUUAUUCUAUUAAUUACUUCUUAAUGUCAUUUACACACGUGUAAAUAUUACUUUGCAACUUCAAUUGAAAAAUUCAGUUUUCGUUCUACAUUGUCUCUGUGCUUUGGAACGUUCUCGUUGGUUUGAGGCAUAUAGAGCAUUUCUGAGAGAAUUCUACAGUAAUUUGUCUCUCUAGGAAGUUUAGAAUUAUCAACACCUGCACAACAUAUCUUAGGGUUUUUUUACUAUCACUUUCAACAGUUAUAUUUUUAAUUCCUCUGUGAAUUUGGUUAAAGGUAAAUUUUGUUUGUUUAAUGCUUAAUUAAGCAUUUGCCUUUCUGGACACCCUGUGUAUUCAUUCUUUUAGGGUUUCCUGUGUAAAAAUACAGAAGCUAGUGUUAAGACCAAAAAUUGUACAUACCCAGUUCAAGUUUUGCUAUCAAUAUUAGGGGUUCUGCGUUUUGUAAUGGCGUUCUUUACAUUACAGAUCAUUACACUUCUUUGCCUCAUAUUUUUAGCAUUAAAAUAACAGUCAAAUCAAUGAGCGCUAAUAAAAUGAAGAGGAUAUGUUUUUCUGUGGGGUUUGGGAAACCCUAAAUAAAAGCCUUGCCCAUGUUUUGUGCGGCUUUGGCGCCACCGUUCAAAUAUGAUGAUACAAACAGCUUCUGAAGACGCUGAACUAGGGUUUCCUCAUUCUUUGCAACAACGCUAAUUAGGUAACAAAUGUUUUGCAAAAACAUUUUUACGGCAAACAGAAAACGGAUUUUUUUGGGCUCAGAGAAAAAAUCUGUUGAAGUUUGGUAUUGAGGUUUUUUUGUAAUUAUCCUUUUGUAAACUUGCAGCUGUGACAACAAUAAAAAUGCCUUUCUAUUGAAAAUCAAGGAUAAACAUUGUACCACUAGUGCUUGUUUGAGAAAUUUUUGGAACUGAUUAACUUCUGCAAUGCCUCCUAUCUUUCACCGCAUUCUACCACCGCCCAAAUUUCCUAUAAAUACUACAUAGUAAAUUAUUGAGUACACGAGCAGUCAAACAAAAUUCACACCCUAACAGGGCAAUUUGUACCGGCAUAUGCUUAUAAAAAAUCAUGAAUGAUGAAGUGGCUUUAAAAGCUUUUCAAGGCUUCAUCUCACAAGUCAUCAGAAGGGCGCUGUCCUGAAGGGUUUGGAGGUGAUGAUCAUAUUUCGCAUUUGCCUCGAAACCCCAUG